UGAUCUGAUAUGGGAUAUCGCACAGGGCUAUGCACCGCCUCCUAAGAAUGGUGUGGAGCAAAAAAGACCCGGCAGACCGCUGAACAUCACGUCGCUGGUCAGGUUGUCAUCCGCUGUACCCAAUCAGAUAGUAGUCACGUGGGCACCUGAAAUAGGAAAGACAUACUCCAUGUCAGUUUACUUGGUGCGGCAGCUGACCUCUCCACUGUUGCUACAGAGAUUAAGAAUGAAGGGGAUCAGAAACCCUGACCAUUCCAGAGCUUUAAUUAAAGAAAAACUCACGGCAGACCCUGACAGUGAAAUCGCCACAACUAGUUUACGAGUCUCACUCAUGUGCCCAGUAAG